rnacentral:rRNA from 1 species
AGUGAACGCUGGCGGUAGGCCUAACACAUGCAAGUCGAACGGCAGCACAGUAAGAGCUUGCUCUUACGGGUGGCGAGUGGCGGACGGGUGGGGAAUACAGCGGACUCUACGUUGGCGGGGGGGAUAACGUAGGGACACUUACGCUAAUACCGCAUACGCCCUACGGGUGAAAGCAGGGGAUCUUCGGCCCUUGCGCGCAUGAAUGAGCCGAUGUCGGAUUAGCUAGUUGGCGGGGUAAGGGCCCACCAAGGCGACGAUCCGUAGCUGGUCUGAGAGGAUGAUCAGCCACACUGGAACUGAGACACGGUCCAGACUCCUACGGGAGGCAGCAGUGGGGAAUAUUGGACAAUGGGCGCAAGCCUGAUCCAGCCAUACCGCGUGGGUGAAGAAGGCCUUCGGGUUGUAAAGCCCUUUUGUUGGGGAAGAAGAGCAGCAGGUUAAUACGCCGCUGUUCUGACGGUACCCAAAGAAUAAGCACCGGCUAACUUCGUG